UACGAAGGGGGCUAGCGUUGCUCGGAAUUACUGGGCGUAAAGCGCACGUAGGCGGAUUGUUAAGUCGGGGGUGAAAGCCUGUGGCUCAACCACAGAAUGGCCCUCGAUACUGGACGGCUCGAGACCGGAAGAGGUUGGUGGAAUUGCGAGUGUAGAGGUGAAAUUCGUAGAUAUUCGCAAGAACACCGGUGGCGAAGGCGGCCAACUGGUCCGGAUCUGACGCUGAGGAGCGAAAGCGUGGGGAGCGAACAGG
rnacentral:rRNA from 1 species